GCAUGGCAUACAACUUACACGUGAGCGCACCGAAACCAAACCCGGACAUGUCCCCCGUCAAAAAGCUCGAUUGGAUAAUCGGCGAUAGGUCCGAACUUUGUAACAGGGAGGGGGAUUGGUUCCGGUUGGGUCUUUGGUCAAAAAGAAACGCAAAAGCGUGAGAACAGGGAAAGAGUGUAGGAAGUCGGCGUGAGAGCGAAAACCCAAAACACAAACCCUAUUCCUUCACUCCGUCUCUCCAAUUCCUUCACGCACGUAAGCUACUACUAUCAAUUGGAAAUUUCCAAGAGUCUUUCCUUCUGCCUAAUCUAGGGUUUAUGUGCAUACGAUUGUCGGUUUUUCAAUUAGAUCGAUCCCUGUUUGGAGAGGCUAUGCUUUGGUUUCAUUGGUUUGUUCGUUGAUUAAAUUAUUGUUCCAGCAGCAGAAUCUGCACUGUUUGGGGAUUAAUUUGUGGAGUCAAAUUAUGGAUUUGGUAACUAGUUGCAAGGAGAAGUUGGCAUAUUUUCGAAUAAAAGAACUUAAGGAUGUUCUCACUCAAUUAGGUCUUUCAAAGCAGGGGAAGAAACAGGAUCUUGUUGAUCGAAUAUUAGCUAUUCUUUCUGAUGAACAAGUUUCUAAAAUGUGGGCAAAGAAGAAUGCUGUUGGAAAGGAACAGGUUGCAAAAUUAGUAGAUGACACCUAUAGAAAAAUGCAGGUGUCUGGGGCUACUGAUUUAGCAUCAAAGGGACAGUGUGUUUCAGAUAGCAGUAAUGUGAAAAUUAAAGGUGAAAUUGAUGACUCCUUUCUGCCAGAUACCAAGAUUCGCUGUCUUUGUGGGAAUUCAUUGGAAACAGAGUCAAUGAUCAAGUGUGAGGAUUCAAGAUGCCAUGUUUGGCAGCACAUUAGUUGUGUCAUAAUUCCGGAGAAACCUAUGGAAGGCAAUGCACCGGUUCCGGAAGUAUUUUAUUGUGAAAUUUGUCGACUCAGUCGGGCUGACCCUUUUUGGGUAACAGUAGCACAUCCUUUGUCUCCUGUGAAGUUGGUCACUACGAAUAUGCCAACUGAUGGCACGAAUCCAGUUCAGAGUGUGGAGAAAACAUUUCAACUCAAUAGGGCAGACAAGGAUUUAUUAUCAAAACAGGAGCAUGAUGUUCAGGCUUGGUGCAUGCUUUUAAAUGACAAAGUUCCAUUCAGGAUGCAGUGGCCACAGUAUGCGGACUUACAGGUCAACGGUAUGCCUGUACGUGCAAUUAAUAGACCAGGCUCUCAACUUCUUGGUGCUAAUGGUCGUGAUGAUGGUCCAAUUAUCACAGCAUACACUAAAGAUGGAUUUAAUAAGAUCUCCUUAACUGGAUGUGAUGCUCGCAUUUUCUGUUUAGGGGUUCGAAUUGUGAAGCGCCGAACUGUUCAACAGAUACUUAACUCAAUUCCUAAGGAGACUGAUGGUGAGCGUUUUGAAGAUGCUCUUGCUCGUGUUCGUCGUUGCGUUGGUGGUGGAACAACAACUGACAAUGCUGAUAGUGACAGUGACUUGGAAGUUGUUGCCGAUUCUUUUGUUGUCAAUCUACGUUGUCCGAUGAGUGGUUCAAGAAUGAAGGUAUCUGGAAGGUUCAAACCUUGUGUUCACAUGGGCUGUUUUGAUCUUGAAGUUUUUGUGGAAAUGAAUCAACGUUCAAGAAAGUGGCAGUGCCCUAUUUGUCUCAAGAACUAUUCCUUGGAGAAUGUCAUUAUUGACCCAUAUUUCAACUGCAUCACCUCAAUGAUGAGGCAUUGUGCAGAGGAUGUAACAGAGAUUGAGGUGAAGCCUGAUGGUUCUUGGCGAGUAAAGGCUAAAAGUGAAAUUGAACGGAAGGAGCUUGGAGUUGUUGGUCAAUGGCAUUUUCCAGAUGGUACGCUUUGUGUCUCUAAUGAUGGAGAAGAAAAACUAAAAGCAGACUUGUUGAAGCAGGUCAAACAGGAAGGUGUUUCAGAAGGUCAUACUGGCUUGAAACUUGGAAUCAGGAAGAAUCGGAAUGGGUUUUGGGAGGUUAGCAAACCUGAUGAUAUGAUCACAUCUUCCGGUAACAUACUACCACAGAACUUUGGAAAUCAUGAGCAAAGGGUUAUCCCAAUGAGCAGCAGUGCAACCGGAAGUGGUAGGGAUGAUGAAGAUCCAAGUGUAAAUCAGGAUGGAGGUGGGAAUUUUGAUUUCUCCACCAACAAUGGAGUUGAGAUGGAAACUAUUUCUCUUAAUGUUGAUUCUGCAUUUGGAGUUGCUGACCAAAACCCUUCUGCACCAGUAGGGGAUGCAGAAGUUAUUGUACUUAGUGAUUCUGAUGAAGACAAUGACAUCUUCAUUUCUUCUGGAUCUGUGUACAGAAAUCAUCGAACUGAUGGUGGUGGGGUUAAUUUUUCAGUGCCACCUCCUGUUAUGACGGAUUCGUACCCAGAUGAUCCUACUCUUGUUACUAGUGGGAGCCCGUGCUUAGGUCUUUUUAAUGGCAAUGAUGAUGAAUUUGGGAUGCCAUUGUGGCAUUUACCUCCUGCAAAUCAAGCAGGCCCAGGUUUCCAAUUGUUUGGUUCUGAUGCAGAUGUUUCGGACGCUCUAGUUGAACUGCAACAUGGUACAAUCAAUUGUUCCACAUCCAUGAAUGGCUACACAUUGGCUCCAGACCCUACCAUGGGAACUGCUACUCUAGCCCCAAAUUCUUCUGUUGGUCGUUCAGAUACUGAUAUAAAUGAUGGCUUAUUAGAUAAUCCCUUGCCAUUUGCUGGGGAUGAUCCCGCUCUUCAGAUAUUUCUUCCCACAAGGCCUUCAGAUGUAUCUAUGCAGUCUCACUUUAGAGAUCAGGCUGAUAUGUCAAAUGGUGGUGUCCGUACUGAGGAUUGGAUAUCUCUUCGGCUUGGUGAUGGUGCCAGUGGCAGUGGCAGUAAUGGUGAGUCAGUAACUCCAAAUGGAUUGAAUUCGAAGCAGCAAGUUUCAUCCCGAGAAGGUGUCAUAGAUUCCUUGCCUGAUCCUGCCUCUUUGCUUCUUGGUAUGAAUGAUGCUAGAUCUGACAAGGCUAGUAGACAGAGAUCAGAUAGUCCUUUCUCAUUUCCUCGACAAAAACGUUCUGUAAGGCCAAGAUUGUAUCUAUCAAUUGACUCAGACUCUGAAUAGAGUAUGUCACCUUGUUUGCCAAGAGCAAUUCUUGGUCUGUUUGAUUAUUUAUGAGGAAGCUUGAUAUAGAGAAAUCUAAAUCUGCCCGUUUACAAGUUUGAAUUCUGUUUUCAAACAAAUGAAAGGGUUGCCGUACACUUUCUGUCAUGGUGCAAUGGAGUCCUUGGUGGAACAAAAUUGGCCAGAGAAGGAAAAAGUCAACUGCACUGGCACCUGCAAGGUUUAUUGUUUGAAUCGAUAUGCAGGUCCAAUGUUGGUAUGGUAAGGAUUUAAAUCCAUCGGUUCAAACCUUUGGAUUUGGUGGGGGAACCCCACCAAGUAAUACAAAUAUCCUCUUUUUUUGCCUCAUUUUUAUGGUGAGAUCAAAUAGCCUGUAAAUUGACACUCAGUUUAGUUAUAUAUAGAAAAUGUUAUUAUUUUUGAAAUGGUUA